rnacentral:rRNA from 1 species
ACGAAAGCUGGCGGCAUGCCUAACACAUGCAAGUCGAACGAAAAGUAGCAAUAUUUUUAGUGGCGAACGGGUGAGUAACACUUGAGCAACCUACCUUAUACAUCGGGAUAGCGCCUAGAAAUGGGUGCUAAUACCGAAUAAGACCACAGUAAGUCAUCUUACAGGGGUCAAAGUUCAGGCGGUAUAAGAUGGGCUCGAGUCCAAUUAGCUAGAUGGUGAGAUAACAGCCCACCAUGGCGACGAUUGGUAGCCGGCCUGAGAGGGUGAUCGGCCACACUGGAACUGAGACACGGUCCAGACUCCUACGGGAGGCAGCAGUGGGGAAUAUUGGGCAAUGGGCGAAAGCCUUACCCAGCAAUGCCGCGUGUGUGAAGAAGGUCUUCGGAUUGUAAAGCACUAUAUUGGGGAAGAACACAAUGACGGUACCCAGAGAAAAAGCCCCGGCUAACUAUGUGCCAGCAGCCGCGGUAAUACAUAGGGGGCUAGCUUUGUCCGGAAUUACUGGGCGUAAAGGGUGCGUAGGCGGUAGUGUGUGUUGGAAGUGUAAUCCCUGGGCUUAACUCAGGGGCUGCUUCCAAAACUACAUUACUUGAGUAUCGGAGAGGAAAACGGAAUUCCUAGUGUAGCGGUGAAAUGCGUAGAUAUUAGGAGGAACACCAGAGGCGAAGGCGGUUUUCUGGACGAUAACUGACGCUGAGGCACGAAAGCGUGGGGAGCGAUUGGGAUUAGAUACCCCAGUAGUCCACGCUGUAAAUGAUGGGUACUUGACGUUGGGAGUAUCAACUCUCCCAGUGUCGUAGCUAACGCAUUAAGUACCCCGCCUGGGGAGUACGAUCGCAAGGUUG